AGGGUUGUGGCUCAGUUGUAGAGCACUUGCCUAGCAUGCAUGAAGCAUUGGGUUCAAUCCCCAGCACCACAU
rfam:Ictidomys tridecemlineatus contig108668, whole genome shotgun sequence.